rnacentral:rRNA from 1 species
AUUGAACGCUGGCGGCAUGCCUUACACAUGCAAGUCGAACGGCAGCACGGGGCAACCUGGUGGCGAGUGGCGAACGGGUGAGUAAUGCAUCGGAACGUACCUUUCAGUGGGGGAUAACGUGGCGAAAGUUACGCUAAUACCGCAUAUUCUGUGAGCAGGAAAGCAGGGGAUCGCAAGACCUUGCGCUGAUUGAGCGGCCGAUGUCAGAUUAGCUAGUUGGUGAGGUAAAGGCUCACCAAGGCGACGAUCUGUAGCGGGUCUGAGAGGAUGAUCCGCAACACUGGAACUGAGACACGGUCCAGACUCCUACGGGAGUCAGCAGUGGGGAAUUUUGGACAAUGGCGGCAACCCUGAUCCAGCCAUGCCGCGUGAGUGAAGAAGGCCUUCGGGUUGUAAAGCUCCUUCGGCCGGGAAGAAAUCGCACGGGCUAAUACCCUGUGUGGAUGACGGUACCGGAAUAAGAAGCACCGGCUAACUACGUGCCAGCAGCCGCCGUAACAC